CAUGCAAGUCGAACGCUGAAGCACCAGCUUGCUGGUGUGGAUGAGUGGCGAACGGGUGAGUAAUACGUGAGUAACCUGCCCUUGACUCUGGGAUAAGCCCGGGAAACUGGGUCUAAUACUGGAUGCUACAUGUCACCGCAUGGUGGUGUGUGGAAAGGGUUUACUGGUCUUGGAUGGGCUCACGGCCUAUCAGCUUGUUGGUGAGGUAAUGGCUCACCAAGGCGACGACGGGUAGCCGGCCUGAGAGGGUGACCGGCCACACUGGGACUGAGACACGGCCCAGACUCCUACGGGAGGCAGCAGUGGGGAAUAUUGCACAAUGGGCGAAAGCCUGAUGCAGCGACGCCGCGUGAGGGAUGACGGCCUUCGGGUUGUAAACCUCUUUCAGCAGGGAAGAAGCCACAAGUGACGGUACCUGCAGAAGAAGCGCCGGCUAACUACGUGCCAGCAGCCGCGGUAAUACGUAGGGCGCAAGCGUUGUCCGGAAUUAUUGGGCGUAAAGAGCUCGUAGGCGGUUUGUCGCGUCUGCUGUGAAAGCCCGGGGCUUAACCCCGGGUGUGCAGUGGGUACGGGCAGACUAGAGUGCAGUAGGGGAGACUGGAAUUCCUGGUGUAGCGGUGGAAUGCGCAGAUAUCAGGAGGAACACCGAUGGCGAAGGCAGGUCUCUGGGCUGUUACUGACGCUGAGGAGCGAAAGCAUGGGGAGCGAACAGGAUUAGAUACCCUGGUAGUCCAUGCCGUAAACGUUGGGCACUAGGUGUGG
rnacentral:rRNA from 1 species